GCUAGCACAUGGUUGGAUCCAAUUUUCUCUUUGCAUUUGAAUUACUUAUUUAAUAAGAUUAAUUCAAGUUAAUUAUCUGCUAAUAAGCUAAAUGAAUUAGAUUUAUUGGAUUCCAAUUGUUGGGUGCCUAGAGUUUUGGAUUAUAUAGAUUAAGGGAUCAAACCUUUAAUCAAUUUUUUUGAUUGUUUGCAUGGGACACCACUUGAUUUGAUCAAGCUGAGU
rnacentral:lncRNA from 1 species